rnacentral:rRNA from 1 species
UACGUAGGGGGCAAGCGUUGUCCGGAUUUAUUGGGCGUAAAGAGCGUGUAGGCGGCCAUACAGGUCCGUUGUGAAAACUGGAGGCUUAACCUCCAGACGUCGAUGGAAACCGUAUGGCUAGAGUCCGGAAGAGGAGAGUGGAAUUCCUGGUGUAGCGGUGAAAUGCGCAGAUAUCAGGAAGAACACCCGUGGCGAAGGCGGGACUCUGGGCCGAUACUGACGCUGAGGAGCGAAAGCGUGGGGAGCGAACAGG